rnacentral:lncRNA from 1 species
CUUCUGCACACCAAGCUUGCAUUCUGCAAAACGUGAGCCCAACAGGAAGCUGCCUGCAAAUUCAGGUAGCUUUUCUUACUCUUAACCAGGUCUUGAAUAUACUUUCAGAGAAAUGCCAGCAAGAACUAUAAUCAUCUGGGGAAGAACAAAUCUGGAAGAAAAACACACAGAGGACUAGCACCAAGAGGAAAGGAAGGUGGAGAAAUGGAGAACAAGAUAAAGGCCUGGAAUCCCUGCUGCUCCAGAAAGGGAAGAAGGACUCCGAAAACAGUAAGAAGUCAGGACUGUUAACACCAAUGGAGGUUCCUCAUAGGACCACAGAAACUGGAUCUGCAUGCACUCUCUAAAAAGAAGUAGAAGAAGAAGAAAAGAAAAAGAAAGAAAUAUUAUGAAGAACUUUAUGCCAAUAACUUAACAACUUUAAUAAAAUGCACAUAUGUACUGAAUAGCAUGAGCUUCCAUAGCUCAUUCAGGAUGGAAGAACUAGAUUUUGAUUAGCCCUGUAUCUAUUAAGAAGUUAAAUCUUUUUUUCUCCUUUUUUUAAAAAAAGAUUUCUUUCUUUUUUUUCUUGUUACUCUAAUAAAAAGGCAAAAGUAAAAAAAAAUUUUUUUCAGGGGUACAGGUCUGUGAUUCAUCAGUUUUACAUAAUACCCAUUGCUUAUUACAACACAUACCCUCCCCAAUCUACUUUUUAACUGCAAUCUGUUAAAGAAGUUGAAUGAAAAUCCUUUCCACAAAGAAAAUUCACUGGUGAACUCUACCAAGCACUUAAGAAAGACAGAACAUCUAAACAAACUCUUCUAGAAAACUGAAGAAGAGGAAAUACUUUCUAACUCAUUUUCUGAGACUAGUAUUAGUUGACUACCAAAACCAGGCAAAGAUAGUAAUGAAAACUAAAGACCAAUAUCCCCCAGGAGGACAGAUGUAAAAACCCUUAGCAAAACUUUAGCAAGUUAAAUGUGAC